rnacentral:rRNA from 1 species
UACGUAGGCGGGAAAUUAAGUCAGUAGUGAAAUCCCACAGCUUAACUGUGGAACUGUUAUUGAUACUGGUUUUCUUGAAUAUAGUUGAGGUAGGCGGAAUGUGUAAUGUAGCGGUGAAAUGCUUAGAUAUUACACAGAACACCGAUUGCGAAGGCAGCUUACUAAGUUAUGAUUGACGCUGAGGUACGAAAGCGUGGGGAGCGAACAGGAUUAGAUACCCUGGUAGUCC